UGGGAGGCCAAGGCAAGAGAACUGUUGAAGGUCAGGAGUUGGAGACCAACCAGCCCAGGGAAUAUAUAGGGAGACCCUAUCUCUUAAAAAAAAAAAAAAUUACCUGGGCAUGGUGGCAUAUGCCUGUGGUUCCAGCUACUCAGGAGGCUGAGGCAGUAGGAUUGCUUGAGCCCAGGAGUUUGAGGCUGCACUGAGCCGUGAUCACACCACUGCAUUCCAGACUAGGUACAGAGCGAGUCUAUGUGGAGUGCAAUGUCUCUAAAAAAAAAAAAAUACCCAAAAUAUAAACAGGGACUAUGAGGUAUGUACAGGAAAUUAAUAGCUGAAGAAUAUUUUACCAUGUUCAAAAACUAAAUUCUUCAUGUGGCUGAGAGAAGAAAGAAAAAAAUGGUAUGUUUGUGUUCCAUUUGCAGGUAUUACAUAAACCCAUUUUAAAUGAACUAAAAUGCCUAGGAUUUGGGGGGGAAAAAUUAUCUUGUGCUCGCAUUUGAAGGUUCUUCUCAGAAAUAAACUGUUUAAAGAGA
rnacentral:lncRNA from 1 species